GGCCUUCGGGUUGUAAAACUCUGUCUUCAGGGAAGAAAAAAAUGACGGUACCUGAGGAGGAAGCCACGGCUAACUACGUGCCAGCAGCCGCGGUAAUACGUAGGUGGCAAGCGUUGUCCGGAAUUACUGGGCGUAAAGAGCGCGUAGGCGGGGAUUUAAGUCAGGAGUGAAAACUGGCGGCUCAACUGCCAGCCUGCUCUUGAAACUGGAUCUCUUGAGGGUAUGAGAGGAAAGCGGAAUUCCCAGUGUAGCGGUGAAAUGCGUAGAUAUUGGGAGGAACACCAGUGGCGAAGGCGGCUUUCUGGCAUACAACUGACGCUGAGGCGCGAAAGCGUGGGGAGCAAACGGGAUUAGAUACCCCGGUAGUCCACGCCGUAAACGAUGGGCACUAGGUGUAGGAGGUAUCGACCCCUUCUGUGCCGUAGUUAACACAAUAAGUGCCCCGCCUGGGGAGUACGGCCGCAAGGUUGAAACUCAAAUGAAAUUGACGG
rnacentral:rRNA from 1 species